rnacentral:tRNA from 1 species
AAAACAUAGCUUAAAUAAAGCAUCUAGUUUACACCUAGAAGAU